rnacentral:rRNA from 11 species
UCUGUAAGCCUGCGAAGGUGGCCUGUGAGGGCUGCUGGAGGUAUCAGAAGUGCGAAUGCUGACAUAAGUAACGAUAAUGCGGGUGAAAAACCCGCACGCCGGAAGACCAAGGGUUCCUGUCCAACGUUAAUCGGGGCAGGGUGAGUCGACCCCUAAGGCGAGGCCGAAAGGCGUAGUCGAUGGGAAACAGGUUAAUAUUCCUGUACUUCUAGUUAUUGCGAUGGAGGGACGGAGAAGGCU